rnacentral:rRNA from 1 species
UACAGAGGUCCCAAGCGUUGUUCGGAUUCACUGGGCGUAAAGGGUGCGUAGGUGGUUGGGAAAGUUUGAUGUGAAAGCUCGGAGCUUAACUCCGAAAUGGCAUUGAAUACUUCUUAACUUGAGGGUCGGAGGGGAGACUGGAAUUCUCGGUGUAGCAGUGAAUGCGUAGAUAUCGAGAGGAACACCAGUGGCGAAGGCGAGUCUCUGGACGACUCCUGACACUGAGGCACGAAAGCUAGGGGAGCCAAACAGG